GCUUAACACAUGCAAGUCGAGGGGCAGCAUGGUCUUAGCUUGCUAAGGCCGAUGGCGACCGGCGCACGGGUGAGUAACACGUAUCCAACCUGCCGUCUACUCUUGGACAGCCUUCUGAAAGGAAGAUUAAUACAAGAUGGCAUCAUGAGUCCGCAUGUUCACAUGAUUAAAGGUAUUCCGGUAGACGAUGGGGAUGCGUUCCAUUAGAUAGUAGGCGGGGUAACGGCCCACCUAGUCUUCGAUGGAUAGGGGUUCUGAGAGGAAGGUCCCCCACAUUGGAACUGAGACACGGUCCAAACUCCUACGGGAGGCAGCAGUGAGGAAUAUUGGUCAAUGGGCGAGAGCCUGAACCAGCCAAGUAGCGUGAAGGAUGACUGCCCUAUGGGUUGUAAACUUCUUUUAUAAAGGAAUAAAGUCGGGUAUGGAUACCCGUUUGCAUGUACUUUAUGAAUAAGGAUCGGCUAACUCCGUGCCAGCAGCCGCGGUAAUACGGAGGAUCCGAGCGUUAUCCGGAUUUAUUGGGUUUAAAGGGAGCGUAGAUGGAUGUUUAAGUCAGUUGUGAAAGUUUGCGGCUCAACCGUAAAAUUGCAGUUGAUACUGGAUAUCUUGAGUGCAGUUGAGGCAGGCGGAAUUCGUGGUGUAGCGGUGAAAUGCUUAGAUAUCACGAAGAACUCCGAUUGCGAAGGCGGCCUGCUAAGCUGCAACUGACAUUGAGGCUCGAAAGUGUGGGUAUCAAACAGGAUUAGAUACCCUGGUAGUCCACACGGUAAACGAUGAAUACUCGCUGUUUGCGAUAUACUGCAAGCGGCCAAGCGAAAGCGUUAAGUAUUCCACUUGGGGAGUACGCCGGCAACGGUGAAACUCAAAGGAAUUGACGGGGGCCCGCACAAGCGGAGGAACAUGUGGUUUAAUUCGAUGAUACGCGAGGAACCUUACCCGGGCUUAAAUUGCAGAUGAAUUACGGUGAAAGCCGUAAGCCGCAAGGCAUCUGUGAAGGUGCUGCAUGGUUGUCGUCAGCUCGUGCCGUGAGGUGUCGGCUUAAGUGCCAUAACGAGCGCAACCCUUGUUGUCAGUUACUAACAGGUUCCGCUGAGGACUCUGACAAGACUGCCAUCGUAAGAUGUGAGGAAGGUGGGGAUGACGUCAAAUCAGCACGGCCCUUACGUCCGGGGCUACACACGUGUUACAAUGGGGGGUACAGAGGGCCGCUACCACGCGAGUGGAUGCCAAUCCCCAAAACCUCUCUCAGUUCGGACUGGAGUCUGCAACCCGACUCCACGAAGCUGGAUUCGCUAGUAAUCGCGCAUCAGCCACGGCGCGGUGAAUACGUUCCCGGGCCUUGUACACACCGCCCGUCAAGCCAUGGGAGCCGGGGGUACCUGAAGUGCGUAACCGCGAGGAGCGCCCUAGGGUAAAACUGGUGACUGGGGCUAAGU
rnacentral:rRNA from 1 species